UACGGGGGGGGUAAGCGUUGUUCGGAAUUACUGGGCGUAAAGGGCUCGUAGGCGGCCAACUAAGUCAUACGUGAAAUCCCUCAGCUUAACUGGGGAACUGCGUGUGAUACUGGAUGGCUUGGAUGUGGGAGAGGGAUGCGGAAUUCCAGGUGUAGCGGUGAAAUGCGUAGAUAUUGGGAGGAACACCAGUGGCGAAGGCGGCUCACUGGACCGGAACUGACGCUGAGGCGCGAAAGCGUGGGGAGCAAACAGG
rnacentral:rRNA from 1 species